UCAAACUUGGUCAUUUAGAGGAAGUAAAAGUCGUAACAAGGUCUCCGUUGGUGAACCAGCGGAGGGAUCAUUACAGAGUUGCAAAACUCCCAAAACCCAUUGUUUACCUACCUGAAAAGUUGCUUCGGCAGGCGGCCCCAGGGCGGGGCCACAGCCGAAAGGCGCCUGCCGAGGAAUUUUAAAACUCAAUGUUUUUAUGUUUCUCUGAGCCUAAAAGACAAAUUAUCAAAACUUUCAGCAACGGAUCUCUUGGUUCUGGCAUCGAUGAAGAACGCAGC
rnacentral:misc_RNA from 1 species